rnacentral:rRNA from 1 species
UGGGGGAUAUUGCGCAAUGGGGGAAACCCUGACGCAGCAACGCCGCGUGAAGGAUGAAGGUCUUCGGAUUGUAAACUUUUGUCUUUGGGGAAGAAUAAAUGACGGUACCCAAGGAGGAAGCCACGGCUAACUACGUGCCAGCAGCCGCGGUAAUACGUAGGUGGCAAGCGUUGUCCGGAUUUACUGGGUGUAAAGGGCGUGUAGGCGGGAACAUAAGUCAGAUGUGAAAUCUGGGGGCUCAACCCCCAAACUGCAUUUGAAACUAUGUUUCUUGAGUAUCGGAGAGGAAAGCGGAAUUCCCAGUGUAGCGGUGAAAUGCGUAGAUAUUGGGAGGAACACCAGUGGCGAAGGCGGCUUUCUGGACGACAACUGACGCUGAGGCGCGAAAGCGUGGGGAGCAAACA